AGCUCGAUUGCCUUCAGGUUCUAUUUUGGAAGCAAACAGACGAGAGAUACGGUAGUGUGAAACCGGCCCAAGGCUAGUUGGAAACCCACUUUCCUCGGAGGGAAACAGUCGCAGAAGAAGGCGUAGGAUUUCGAUUUGGUCAGCUCUCCUACUCGCGGUCUGCGUGGCACUAGGUUCGCCUGCAUUGGGUCACGCCAAAUGCAUUCCUGAACUCCUUCAAGAUGUGAAGUACGUCCCUGGAGCCGACUCGAUCACACUCAUUCCGCCGCGCUUCACCCCUGAGGAAGAGUGUGUGCUCAAAGGGCAGUACUGGUACGUGGCCUCGUACGCAAAAGAAGGCGAGGAACCGAUACCCUGGAUACCCGUAGGCAUCGAAGGACACGUCGUCAUCCAACACCUCACGCCCUCGACGACGUAUAAUAUAAAAAUUGCCAUGAGAUACAUCUACACCAGCCUCACCAGCAGAAAGCAAGUUGAGGAAACACCAGAAUUCCCAAUUGAGGCGAAAACCAUAGCCCUCGCAGUGCCACCCCCACCGACCAAGGAAAUCAAACUGAUGGAUUCAUCCCACCUGAAUAAGACCCAGCAGGAGUUUGAAAUUCCCUCCGACUUCUUCAGUAACGUCAACGGGGCUCUCAAAAAAUAUAUACACUCGUGGCACAGGA